ensembl:lncRNA
GUCCUCAACUGGCGUCUUCAUUAAAUAGUACCCACAAAACACGAGUCUCAACGUCAACAGUGAAGAGGCGACUCCAGUAUGCUGGCCUUCUAGGCAAAGUUCCUCUGUCCUGUGUCUGUGUUCCCCGAGUCGCCUCCUCACUGUUGACAUUGAGACUGGUGUUUUGUGGGUACUAUUUAAUGAAGCUGCCAGUUGAGGACUUGUGAGGCGUCUGUUUCUCAAACUAGACACUCUAAUGUACUUGUCCUCGGCUAGCGAUUCUCUGGUCCUGCCCCUAUAGUUCUGAUUCAGAGAGACUGAUGGCGCCUGAGGUUGACCCCCUUACCGAUGCUGCCUUUAGCCUGCCUUCUAUAGGAUCUAUCAACUGGAACAUGAACCCUGUGACAAUUGACACUCCCUAGCAUUCAUCCUCCUCACACUCUCCUUAUGUUAAACCAGACCUUAGACAAUGCCAGUGCCUCAAUGCUAAAUGGCUACACAAGCCCAUUGACAAGUGACAGUAGUAGUAAUGCUAUCAGUAGAUCCGGUGGCCAUGAUAAGCACUUCCUGUGUUUGUUGUGUGGGAAAGCCUUCUGUUUCCCCAAACAGGUGGAGAUCCACCAGAGGAUGCACAUGGGGAAAAAUCUUUUGGCCUGUGUGAGAAUAUGUUCUCCCAACAGCACCAGCUGAAGAUGCACCUUCUGCAGUCCAUGAGGACCUGAUGAUAUCCGGUGUUGCUGGCACUUGAGGAGCGGGACACUAAUCUGGACCCCUAUAAGAAAUCCAGCUAUGCCCUCAGACGAACCAUCAAACAAGCAAAGUGUCAAUACAGGAUUAAGAUUGAAUCGUACUACACCUUCUCUGAUGCUCGUCGGAUGUGGCAGGGCUUGGAAACUAUUACGGACUACAAAGGGAAACCCAGCCGCGAGCUGCCCAGUGACGCGAGCCUACCAGACGAGCUAAAUGCCUUUUAUGCUCGCUUCAAGGCAAGCAAUACAUAAGCAUGCACGAGAUUACCAGCUGUUCUGGAUGACUGUGUGAUAUUGCUCUCUGUAGCUGAUGUGAGCAAGAUCUUUAAACAGGUCAACGUUCACAAAGACACGGGGCCAGAUGGAUUACCAGGAUGUGUACUCAAAGCAUGCGCAGACCAACUGGCAAGUGUCUUCACUGACAUUUUCAAUCUCUCCCUGACUGAGUCUGUAAUACCUACAUGUUUCAAGCAGACCACCAUGGUUCCUGUGCCCAAGGAAGUAAAGGUAACCUGCCUAAAUGAUUACCGCCCCGUAACAAUCACGUCGGUAGCCAUGAUGUGCUUUGAAAGGCUGGUCAUGGCUCCCAUCAACAGCAUCAUCACGGAAACCCUAGACCCACUCCAAUUCGCAUACGGCCCCAAAAGAUCCACAGAUGAUGCAAUCUCAAUCGUACUCCACACUGCCCUUUCCCACCUGGACAAAAGGAAGACCUAUGUGAGAAUGCUAUUCAUUGACUCAUUGUGCCCACGAAGCUCAUCACUAAGCUAAGGACCCUGGGACUAAACACCUCCCUCUGCAACUGGAUCCUGGACUUCCUGACGGGCCGCCCCCAGGUGGUAAGGGUAGGCAACAACACGUCUGCCGCGCUGAUCCUCAACACUGGGGCCCCUCAGUCGUGUGUACUUAGUCCCCUCCUGUACUCCCUGUUCACCCACGACUGCGUGGCCAAACACCAUCAUUAAGUUUGCUGAUGACACAACAGUGGAAGGCCUGAUCACCGACAUCAAUGAGACAGCCUAUAGGGACGAGGUCAGAGAACUGUCAGUGUGGUGCCAGGACAACAACCUCUCCCUCAAUGUGAGCAAGACAAAGGAGCUGAUCGUGGACUACAGGUAAAUUUGGGCCGAACAGGCUCCCGUUAACAUCAACGGGACUGUAGUGGAGCGGUUCAAGAGUUUCAAGUUCCUUGGUGUCCAAAUCACCAAUGAUCUAUCAUGGUCCUAACACACCAAGACAGUCGUGAAGAGGGCAUGACAAAACCUUUUCCCCCUCAGGAGACUGAAAAGAUUUGGUAUGAGUCCCCAGAUCUUCAAAAAGUUCUACAGCUGCACCAUCGAGAUCAUCCUGACCGGUAGCAUCACUGCCUGGUAUGGCAUCUGACCGUAAGGCGCUACAGAGGGUAGUGCGUACGGCCCAGUACAUCACUGGGGCCAAGCUUCCUGCAAUCCAGGACCUAUAUAAUAGGUGGUUUCAGAGGAAAGCCCAUAAAAUGGUCAGAGACUCCAGUCACCCACUCAUUGACUGUUUUCUUUGCUACAGAACGGCAAGAGGUACCGGAGCGCCAAGCCUAGGACCAAAAGGCUCCUCAACAGCUUCUACCCCCAAGCCAUAAGACUGCUGAACAAUUAAUCAAACUGCCACGGGAUUAUUACAUUGACACCCCACCCCCUCCUCCAUUUGUUUUAUUGCUACUUGCUGUUUAUUAUCUAUGCAUAGUCACUUCACCCCUACCUACAUGUACAAAUUGCCUCUAACCUAUACCCCCGCACACUGACUCUGUACCGCUACCCCUUGUAUAUAGCCUUGUUAUUGUUAUGUUAUUGUGUUACUUAUUUUUUACUUUAGUUUGUUUGGUAAAUGUUUUUUUUCUUUUGUUUUUUAAACUUUUUUACUGCUUUUUUCUCCCCAAUUUUGUGGUAUCCAAUUGGUAGUAGCUACAGUCUUGUCUCAUCGCGGCAACUCCUGUAUGGACUCGGGAGAGGUGAAGGUCGCGAGCCAAGCAUCCCCCGAAACACAACCCAACCUAGCCGCACUGCUUCUUGACACAACGCACAUCCAACCCGGAAGCCAGUCGCACCAAUGUGUCGGAGGAAACACUGUACACCUGGCGACCUGGUCAGCGUGCACUGUGCCUGGCCCGCCACAGGAGUCGCUAGUGCGUGAUGAGACAAGGAUAUCCCUGCUGGCCAAACCCUCCCUAACCCGGACGACGCUAGGCCAAUUGUGUCGCGGCCAGCUGCGACAGAGCCUGGGCUCGAACCCAGAUUCUCUAGUGGCACAGCUAGACCACUGCGCCACCCGGGAGGCCCUUGUAAAUAUUUUCUUAACUCUUCUUGAAAUGCACUGUUGGUUAAGGGCUUGUAAGUAAGCAUUUCAAGGUAACUUGUUGUAUUUGGCGCAUGUGACAAAGUUUGAUUUGAUUUUCCUCUCCUGAAAACCCUGAGCAGUCGAGAGAUGGUGAACUCUCAGAAAUUGAACCGGAGAAAAAUUAUUUGUAAGAUCCUGCGCUGAGCGGUGAGGUGAAGGCUUCCAAGCCUCAACCGAAUCACCAGGAAAAUACUAGAGAUGACUUGGGCCCAGUGGGAGUACAAUUCUUGAGGAGCAUGCUAACAGAUACAUUGUGAUAUAGCUAGUUAGCAUUGGCUUGCGAAACUAGCUCUAACUUCCAUACUGGACAUAAAAAUGGUAUCCACUAGUUCAUCUGCCUGGGGAAGUAGUAUCCUGAAGUAUCCAUUUAAAUUGUACUGUACAGAUGGAAUGGAAAUCCCAGAAGAUUGAAUUGGUAGUAGCAGCAGAGAAGUGUUUGGGUGUCAUAUUUGAAUGUAGAAGGAACUACGGGGGUUUUGAGAGAAGGGGUUCCAGCCUCCCAGACUGAUGGUGUUGAUGUAGGACCUGUUAGGGCCAAAGUAGUGUGAAGGGGUGGUGGAGUGUGUUGAGAGAUAAUGCUAUAUAGAGAGCAAUUUUAAUGGUGUCUUUUCAUAGGCACUAACACCCUCCAUGGUUUGUUGUAAGGCCUAUAGGGAAAUUAAUGGAGUUUUUGUAGGGUUUUUGGAUAAAUGCUGGAAAUAAGGUCUGUGGUAAACACAGGUUGUGUCUGAAUACCCAUACUAGUGUACUAUAUACUUAAACUGCAUGGUAUGUACUCAUUUCAGUGCUAGAGGCGUCACUACAGACCCUGGUUCGAUUCCAGGCUGUAUCACAACCAGCCGUGAUUGGGAGUCCCAAAGGGUAGCGCACAAUUGGCCCAGCGUCGUCUGGGUUAGGCCAUCAUUGUAAAUAAGAAUUUGUUCUUAACAGACUUGCCUAGUUAAAUAAAGGUAUAAAACAAAUUGU